GAUUCAAAUGUUGGAGGGUGCACCUAUAUGCUGCAGAUCUGAAUUUGGGAGCGAUAGGACCGGUUGACAAUUGAAUCCAAAUUUUCCCAUUAUUCAUGAUUCCUUCCAUAUUUGAUCAAUUCUCGAUACCAUUUUGCUAUUAAACUCACGAGUUCUUUUUUUUAUUCCUUAGAAUUUUUUUUCUCUUUCUGGUGGUAUCAAACUGCCACAAUUUUUUUUCUCUUGUUCCGACCAAAAAAGUACAAUUGGUUCGAUUGUAGGGGUGAUUAUUUACUUCACGGGCGAGGUUCCUGGACCUUUUGAGUAAGACUGAAGAGGAUAUUAUGUGAAUUGAAAGUUUUCGUAUGGAAGAUGGAAAACUUAUAUGUGUGGUCGAUCUUUUAGCUCCUUAUCGACGUGGAGGAAAAAUCAGACUAUGUGGGGGAGAACCCAAAGGAAAAGGAUAGGUGCAGAGACUCAAUGGAAGCUGUUUUUUUGAUUCCGUCGAAAAUCGAUUUUACGGUAUUUUAUUAUAUGUUAUAUGUAUUUAUUUAUAUAAUAAUAAAAUAUCUCUAUUUUAUGCUAGUGGUAAGAGAGAAUAUGAAUGAUUUUCUUAUUUUUCUUGAUUUUAUCAAGAUUUUGAACCUCAACAUAAAUAAACUUCUAUAUCUCGAUAUAUAUAAAAGAAAAUCUCUCAGGCUCGAACUGAUAACUUCCACCAUGUUAAGGUGACCACGAUUGAUCCUCAAAGGUAAUGAAUGGAAAAAAUAGUAUAUAAUAAAAUUGACGGGAGGAGGACGGAUCGUUCACAUUUGAUUUGAUGGUCAGAGGCUAAUUGACCCAUUACAAAAUUGGAAAUUUCAAAUUUAAUCUAUUUUCUAAUCUAUUGUAUUCUUUUUCGAGAAUGCCGCCACUCGGACUGGAACCGAGAAUAGCGAGUUUUCUAAUCUAUUAUAUUCUUUUUCGUUGUGCAUGGGCUAUUAGGCAAAGAGUUUAUAGGAGAGUUUAGAGUUUAUAGGAGACUAUGUAAGAGUGAAUACCUCCUCAUCUACCGCGAAAUAGCCCUUGUAUGGAACGAAAUAGCUAACAUACUAUCAAAAUGCAAACAUUGACCGCAACCACGCACGCACACUCAAUGCAAAUAACAUAUUACAUGUUUUGUCAACAAAUAAUCAUAAUUAUCACAAUAAACAUAGUUCUCUCACAAAUAAAAAUAUUUUUUCACAAAUAAUGGUAGUUCUCACGAUAAAUAUAAACAUAGUUGUCUCAUAAAUAAACAUAGUUUUGACAACUAAAGAGAAACAUGAUCCAGCUAAAUCAACACGUUCAUCUAGUCUGACUCACUUUCACAUAGUAACUUAUCAUCAUCAUCAUCCCCGGCAAUAACAACUCCCUUUUCUUUCUUAUCCAGAUUAACCUUACCAACAGGUAAAUCGGCAACAAGAGCCUUCAUCGUCUCUAUUUGUGCCUCUUCCGCUUUUUCUUGUAACUCUUCUAUUUCAAUCCUUCUCUUUCUUGCCCUAACCUGCUGCAAAUAUUUUUCCCAUGAACCCUUAGGUUAUUUUGCAUUCGGAUCAACCACAAAAUCUAAGCGAUCUCUCUCCUCCCUCAACCUUUGUUUCUCCAACUCCCUCUCCUCCUGCAACUUUCUCCUAUUUUCUCUCUUCUCAUUUUCAGUUAGAGGUCGUGGAUACUUGGUUCUGUUCUGCCUCCAAUACUUAAUAAUAGUUUCCCUCGCAUAAAAUCCUUCAGGAUCCACUCCAGUCUCAUGAACCAUAUCUUGGUAUAUUUUCCCCCAAAGCAAGUCGUCAUCAAGUAUAGGCACAUCAUAAUCCUUUCUAAUCUUUUCUAUCAGUUCUUGUUUUUUCUUGACUUACAUGGUUUCGAUGUACUACCCAACUUUAACAAUAAAUCACAACGAUCAGAAAAAUCUUCCCAAUUACAUAUCCUUCCCUCCUGUAACAAGAUUUUCAUAUUCUUACAAAUUUGAAACAAGAUCCAACCUUAAUAACACAAAAGAGACGAGUAGUUACUCACCCAGUAGUCGCCAUAUGCAUUGCCACAAAACAAACCAUAUCCAAGCUCAGAAGGCACCACACCUUUUGUUGCCAAUAUACCACACUUGCAUCAACAACUAGGAGAGGACACACAUAGCCUUGGUGCCUUUCCACUCUCGAACUCCCGCACUUGCUACUCUGUUGGCCACAUCGCCUUUAGGCCGUAGAUAUACUCAUUGAAAUCACACAACGAC
rnacentral:lncRNA from 1 species